AACGAACGCUGGCGGCAGGCCUAACACAUGCAAGUCGAGCGAGACCUUCGGGUCUAGCGGCGGACGGGUUAGUAACGCGUGGGAACGUGCCCUUCUCUGCGGAAUAGCCACUGGAAACGGUGAGUAAUACCGCAUACGCCCUUCGGGGGAAAGAUUUAUCGGAGAAGGAUCGGCCCGCGUUAGAUUAGAUAGUUGGUGGGGUAACGGCCUACCAAGUCUACGAUCUAUAGCUGGUUUUAGAGGAUGAUCAGCAACACUGGGACUGAGACACGGCCCAGACUCCUACGGGAGGCAGCAGUGGGGAAUCUUAGACAAUGGGCGCAAGCCUGAUCUAGCCAUGCCGCGUGUGUGAUGAAGGUCUUAGGAUCGUAGAGCACUUUCGCCAGGGAUGAUAAUGACAGUACCUGGUAAAGAAACCCCGGCUAACUCCGUG
rnacentral:rRNA from 1 species